rnacentral:rRNA from 1 species
GAGGCAGCAGUAGGGAAUCUUCCACAAUGGACGCAAGUCUGAUGGAGCAACGCCGCGUGAGUGAAGAAGGCUUUCGGGUCGUAAAACUCUGUUGUUGGAGAAGAAUGGUCGGCAGAGUAACUGUUGUCGGCGUGACGGUAUCCAACCAGAAAGCCACGGCUAACUACGGGCCAGCAGCCGGGGUA